rnacentral:siRNA from 1 species
UUGUGGACAUCUAUAAAUAGCCA